rnacentral:rRNA from 1 species
AGUUUGGACAAUGGGGGAAACCCUGAUCCAGCCAUCCCGCGUGUAUGAUGAAGGCCUUCGGGUUGUAAAGUACUUUUGGCAGAGAAGAAAAGGUAUCCCCUAAUACGAGAUACUGCUGACGGUAUCUGCAGAAUAAACUCCGGCUAACUACGUUCCAGCAGCCGCGGUAAGACGUAGGGUGGAAGCGUUAAUCGGAAUUACUUGGCGUAAAGCGUGUGUAGGCGGUUCGGAAAGAAAGAUGUGAAAUCCCAGGGCUCACACUUGGAACUGCGUUUUUAACUGCAGAGCUAGAGUAUGUCAGAGGGGGGUAGAAUUCCACGUGUAGCAGUGAAAUGCGUAGAUAUGUGGAGGAAUACAGAUGGCGAAGGCAGCCCCCUGGGAUAAUACUGACGCUCAGACACGAAAGCGUGGGGAGCAAACAGG